GUGACAUACCUAAAACGUUGCUUCGGCGGGAACAGACGGCCCUGUAACAACGGGCCGCCCCCGCCAGAGGACCCCUAACUCUGUUUUUAUAAUGUUUUUCUGAGUAAACAAGCAAAUAAAUUAAAACUUUCAACAACGGAUCUCUUGGCUCUGGCAUCGAUGAAGAACGCAGCGAAAUGCGAUAAGUAAUGUGAAUUGCAGAAUUCAGUGAAUCAUCGAAUCUUUGAACGCACAUUGCGCCCGCCAGUAUUCUGGCGGGCAUGCCUGUUCGAGCGUCAUUACAACCCUCAGGCCCCCGGGCCUGGCGUUGGGGAUCGGCGGAAGCCCCCUGUGGGCACACGCCGUCCCUCAAAUACAGUGGCGGUCCCGCCGCAGCUUCCAUUGCGUAGUAGCUAACACCUCGCAACUGGAGAGCGGCGCGGCCAUGCCGUAAAACACCCAACUUCUGAAUGUUGACCUCGAAUCAGGUAGGAAUACCCGCUGAACUUAAGCAUAUCAAUAAGCGGAGGAA
rnacentral:misc_RNA from 1 species